AAAGCAACUGGGAUUACCUUAGUAACGGCGAGUGAAGCGGUAAAAGCUCAAAUUUGAAAUCUGGUACUUUCAGUGCCCGAGUUGUAAUUUGUAGAAUUUGUCUUUGAUUAGGUCCUUGUCUAUGUUCCUUGGAACAGGACGUCAUAGAGGGUGAGAAUCCCGUUUGGCGAGGAUACCUUUUCUCUGUAAGACUUUUUCGAAGAGUCGAGUUGUUUGGGAAUGCAGCUCAAAGUGGGUGGUAAAUUCCAUCUAAAGCUAAAUAUUGGCGAGAGACCGAUAGCGAACAAGUACAGUGAUGGAAAGAUGAAAAGAACUUUGAAAAGAGAGUGAAAAAGUACGUGAAAUUGUUGAAAGGGAAGGGCAUUUGAUCAGACAUGGUGUUUUUUAAUGUGCAAGUCUCUCGUGGACAUGUGCCUCUGGAAAUUAACACUGGGCCAACAUCAGUUCUGGCGGCAGGAUAAAUCAUUAAGAAUGUAGCUACCUUGGUAGUGUUAUAGCUUUUUGGAAUACUGCC
rnacentral:rRNA from 1 species